rnacentral:tRNA from 1 species
GCAUUGGUGGUUCAAUGGUAGAAUUCUUGCCUUCCACAGGGGAGACCUGGGUUCAAUUCCCAGACAAUGCA